UUUUGUUUUCGUCGUCGUAUGGGUUCGCUCGCAUCGUUUUUCGAUUCUGUUCGUCUGCGGAGGUCGUGUGUGUGUGUGAGGAAGAAGAGAGGAGAAUAAACAAGAAGUAGAAGCCGCAGUAAGGAAGCCUCAAAAGGAAAAUCCAAUUCCCGGAAAUCUUAUCAAUGAGCAUUUCAUAGCGUUAGCCGCUAGAAUAAUUUUAAAAUAAAAUCAGUAAAAUGCCUACGAUCUAAUCGCGCUUUUUGCUUAAUCGUUUUAAAGUCUUUGAUAGUGCGUCCCGGGCCCUCUCUGGCCUGCGCGAGUGUGUGUUUUUGUGUGUCGCCGUCGCCGCCGCCACCACGCCUACACGCUCGAGAAUGGCUGCCACGGUCUACCAUCGCCUACAAAGCGUCGCCGUCGGCAGCCCCAGCACCAGCUCCAUUUCCUACUCCUCGUCCGCGUCGCCCGGCGCUUCCUCAUCAUCGUCGGCGCUGCUGAGCCACUCGCAGCUGACGCGCUCCCUGGAGCGUAUCCUUGAGGAGGCGCACUUCAGCGGGGAGCUGAUCCUCACCAAUCGCAAGCUGAAGGACUUUCCCAAGACGGGCACCAAGUACGCGCUCACGGAUACGGUAAUUGCAGAUCUAUCCCGAAAUAGAUUCUGUGAACUGCCGGAAGAGGUGACAACGUUCGCUUUUCUGGAGACGCUGCUGCUCUACCACAACACGAUCCGCAGCAUACCGGAGUCGGUGAAGCAGCUCUCCUCGCUGACCUAUCUGGAUCUGCGCAGCAAUCAGCUGUCGUCGCUGCCACGCGAGAUCUGCUUCCUGCCGCUGCAAGUGCUGCUCGUGUCCAACAAUCGCCUGGUCUCGCUGCCCGACGAACUGGGACGCCUGGAUCAGACCCUCACCGACCUGGAUGCCUCCUACAAUCAGCUGUCGGCCCUGCCGGCCCGUCUGGGGGAACUGCGAACACUGCGCUCGCUGUCGCUAAGGAGCAACCAGCUGAUGUAUCUGCCCCGAGAGCUGACGUGCCUCAGCCUGGUGUCGCUGGACGUGAGCAACAAUCGGAUCGCCAGCCUGCCGCUGGAGAUACGCCACAUGAGCACUCUGGUGGAGCUGCAGCUGGAGAACAAUCCCCUGACCUCGCCCCCAGCCAGUCUCUGCAUGAGGGGCCUGGUGCAUGUGUUCAAGUUUCUGGAGACGCAGGCCACCAAAGACGAGAAGGGCUCCCGAUCGGGUGGGAAUUACGAUGGCUACACCACGCUGCGCCGUGCCCCGCGCCACAAUUCGAGCGGCAAUGUCCUGGAGGCCAGCACCAACAGCAGCAGCAAUCAGCGGCGGCAUCAGAUUGACUCCGGGUACAGCACCAGCGAUGGCCUGGACAAGCGCUGGUCGCACGACAAUCCUCCCAAGUCCAAGACAGACUCCCCCCUGCACUGCUCGAUGGCCGCCACCCUGCCGCGGGCCGUGGCACCCAGCGCCAUUCACAUGCAUGCCGAUCUGAUGGACGCGUCGCUCACGUCCAGCACCAGCACCAUUGUCGAUGAGAGCCUCACCCUCAGUCCCACGAACUCGCCCUGCAAGCUCAGCUACGCGCACUCGAACAGCUCCAGCAAUGGCUCGACGCCGGACCAGGACGAGGACCUCAUGAUGGACCAGGACCCCCAGGAGCGGUCACUCCAUGCCAGCAAUGGCAAGUCCAGCAAGAGCCUCAACAACAUUCAGACCUACAAGGAAUAUAAAGAGGCGCUUAAACAGCAGCGCAACCAGGAGAUCAGUGUCUACAAGCAGAAGCAUCCGAAUGCCAAUCACAGUCCCAAUGAUGACGAUGAGGAUCAGUCGCCACCAGCGCUCAAUCCACAUCCAACAGCUGGCCUGACCAACGGCGGCUCCAGCACACUGCCAAAGUCCAUAAUGAAACAAUCGAGUCUGAAUAGCAACCAAAAUGGUCACAACGGAAAUGGAAACGGGAAUGGGAAUGGAGUCGAUGACGUUAUUAUACCAAAGAAACCCAUACAGAAGGUGAUACCCUCGCGGAAUACGGAGAUAAAGUCUGCAUCGCCAUCGGGAAACUCCAAUGCCGCCGCCUCUGCUGAUUGUCUGGGCUACGUGAAGCCCCAGAGUCCCAUGAAGAAUGGCACAAACAAAUUCAAUACGUCCAAUGGUGGGGGAGGAGCCACAUCUACAUCGGGAACCGCCAGCACCACGAGUGUCACCAUCAAAUCCCCAGUGAGCACCGUCACCAAGCUGGGCACUGUGAAGACCCAUCGCUCGGUUACAUGGAACCAUGACAUACCCGCCGAGAAGCUGAGCUUUACGAUGCGUCGGGAGUUUGAUCGCCAGCGUGAGGAAACCGAAUUGAUGUCGCAGUUAAGGAGUAUCAUUGAAACACGGCUAAAGAUGACGCUGCCCGUGGAUAUAGCCUCGGCCUUAACCGACGGCGUUAUUCUAUGCCAUUUGGCGAACUAUGUGCGUCCCCGUUCAGUGGCCAGCAUCCAUGUGCCGUCGCCUGGUGUGAACAAGCUGACCAUGGCUAGAUGUCGGCGGAACGUGGACAACUUCUUGGAGGCCUGCCGUCGCAUUGGCGUAGAUGAGGUGCGUACAAGAGACCCAUGACCCCGCCAUGAGACAAGUUCCCUGUGUUCUUUCGUAGUACAGUGCGUUUCCAAGCUAUGAGAUCACCUAAUGAUAGGGAAUAAACCUUAGGAAAGCUAAAGAAAUUAUAAGAGAGAAUUACUCAAACUCAGAAAAAUCAUUUAAAUGAUGGAAAUAUUCACCAAAUGCAAUCCGAAUAGAACAUUAUCCAUGCGAAACUUGUCAAUGGGAUACAAAAUUGGGAUGUCAGUCAAUUGAUGUCAUAAGGGAUUAUAUUAGUUGAAAGAAUACUACACAUACAUUAUACACAAAUAACUGAUUCAAUCGGUUGUAUUUAUUUAUUGUGAUUUAUUUUUUAAUAAUUGUAUAAUGUGUACAUUCAAUCGGAAAAAAUUGUGUUUGCCAACCAAUACGUGGUCCAAAGACAAAACAUUGUAGCUGGAUUUUAUAUCGUUAGACUUGGUUCCUCCUUGGUUCCUCCAAAGAUAAACAAGUUGUCUGAUAUACGAAUCUUAACCCUCCUGUCGCGAAGAGAUGGAGAUCUGAUGAUAUCCUAAUAUUUGAAAUUCAUUCUAUUCAGUCAUUUGAGUAGUGCUAUUCACUAAAGAGCACUCGCCGCGCCACUCCGUGCGCAAUGUAUUCAAACGGACCCGAUAUGCAACUCGAUCGACGUAUAACUAUACUGAAGCGAUCAACAAUAACAGAAACAGAAACAACCGUAGUGGAGCAAGGGCACCAGAAUGAGGCAGCUGCCGCCAUCCAAUCAUCGGAUGUGGCCUCUACCCACAAGAAUUUCGCACAAGGAUCCGAAAAUGUACACAUGAAAAUAAGUACUAUAAAUUUGGACAAAAAUGACAGUAAGCAGUAGGACAGUAUCCACGAUGAGGUCCGGAGGCGAUAGUCAGGGUUCCCAGGGUGCCACAGCACAGCAGCAACACACAAUGUUGCCUAAAACUACGGCCCCAUUGAAGAGUAUCCUCGUUAGGAGUGGCAACCAGAACCCAUAUCCACUGAAGAUUUCAAAUGCCGGUCCAACUGACUCACAGAGUUCUGUGCCACUGCAAUCGAAUCCAGAUGCCAAUAUACCAAUUUUGAAAACAUGUCAAGACUUCGAUGGGAAUGGUUCGUCUUUUCUGACUAAGGACGAUUUUGAAAAGAUGUGGCAGCUCUAAUAAGAAACGAUCACCGAAAAAGACUCCAGAAGCCAGUCCGAGUCCGGGUCUGUCAAAGAAAUCUUCCGAACUGAUAAGGACUCCAAUUUUAACAAUAUGUGGUGGCUCUGAUGAGACUAAAACUGAGCGCAGUCCUUUGCCAAAGACGAAUCGAUUCCUCAUUCAAAUGUAUAUUUUGUGUAGCCGCGCCAACUGACUCUCAUCUUGUUCAAACUGUUUUGUACAACUGUCUUGAAGCUUCGAAACGCUCUGUACUACAAGUCCUAUUAUAUGUAUAUUUAUUUCCUA
rnacentral:misc_RNA from 1 species